CCUACGGGAGGCAGCAGUAGGGAAUCUUUCACAAUGGGCGAAAGCCUGAUGGAGCAACGCCGCGUGCAGGAUGAAGGCCUUCGGGUUGUAAACUGCUUUUAUAAGCGAGAAAUAUGAUGGUAACUUAUGAAUAAGGAUCGGCUAAUUACGUGCCAGCAGCCGCGGUCAUACGUAGGAUCCGAGCAUUAUCCGGAGUGACUGGGUGUAAAGAGUUGCGUAGGUGGCAUAAUAAGUAGCUAGAGAAAUCUGGUGGCUCAACCAUUCAGACUGUUAGCUAAACUGUUAAGCUCGAGACCGUUAGAGGUAACUGGAAUUUCUAGUGUAGGAGUGAAAUCCGUAGAUAUUAGAAAGAACACCAAUAGCGUAGGCAGGUUGCUGGGACGAUUCUGACACUAAGGCACGAAAGCGUAGGGAGCAAACGGGAUUAGAUACCCUUGUAGUC
rnacentral:rRNA from 1 species